rnacentral:lncRNA from 1 species
GACGCCCAAACCAAAAAAAUACAAAACAAGCGAAUAUUUAUGGGUACAAUUAUCUAUUUGCGUAUCUUGGCUAUUAUCAUAGUCGUAGAUAUGAUCAUUCUUGGAGUCAAGGUCACUUCCAAGAUUUUAUACGCCACAGUUCAACUUAAGCGAUUUAUAUGUUCUAUCGCAUGACCGACAUCAUCGUAUCUUCCGAGCGUUUGCGAUGCAAAACUUUUAUUCAUUGCGUUUCGAUCAUAAG